rnacentral:lncRNA from 1 species
AUGAUGUUGAAGUUAUGUUACAGGAUGGUAUGCCAAAGAUUCUUAGAGACGAUGCUAUGAGUUUGUUUUAUAACCUAUGAAUGGAGAGGAGAAGCUUUGGUUUAGGACUGGUGCAGAGGCAGUCCUACCUACAUGAGGGCUCCAAGAAUUCUCAAAAGCUUUCAAGAGCAGGAAGAUAUAUGAUCUAUCAAAUAUGUUUUGAGAGAGAUUAUAACAAGCAAGGAUGUUCCAAGAGGAGUGAGGUGUCAAGUAUUCCAACUCAUGAUGUACCAACAAAA